rnacentral:rRNA from 1 species
GAGUUUGAUCCUGGCUCAGAUUGAACGCUGGCGGAAUGCUUUACACAUGCAAGUCGAACGGCAGCACGGGAGCUUGCUCCUGGUGGCGAGUGGCGAACGGGUGAGUAAUACAUCGGAACAUGCCUAGUCGUGGGGGAUACCGUAGCGAAAGUUACGUUAAUACCGCAUACGUCCUGAGGGAGAAAGCAGGGGAUUCGCAAGAACCUUGCGCGAUUAGAGUGGCCGAUGCCUGAUUAGCUAGUUGGUGAGGUAAUGGCUCACCAAGGCGACGAUCAGUAGCGGGUCUGAGAGGAUGAUCCGCCACACUGGAACUGAGACACGGUCCAGACUCCUACGGGAGGCAGCAGUGGGGAAUUUUGGACAAUGGGGGCAACCCUGAUCCAGCCAUUCCGCGUGAGUGAAGAAGGCCUUCGGGUUGUAAAGCUCUUUCAGCGGGAACGAAACGGUGCGCUCUAACAUAGCGUAUUAAUGACGGUACCCGCAGAAGAAGCACCGGCUAACUACGUGCCAGCAGCCGCGGUAAUACGUAGGGUGCGAGCGUUAAUCGGAAUUACUGGGCGUAAAGCGUGCGCAGGCGGCUUUUUAAGCCAGACGUGAAAUCCCCGGGCUUAACCUGGGAAUGGCGUUUGGAACUGGAAGGCUAGAGUGUGUCAGAGGGGGGUAGAAUUCCACGUGUAGCAGUGAAAUGCGUAGAGAUGUGGAGGAAUACCGAUGGCGAAGGCAGCCCCCUGGGAUAACACUGACGCUCAUGUACGAAAGCGUGGGUAGCAAACAGGAUUAGAUACCCUGGUAGUCG